UGUUACAGAAGGGCUGCGCUUUUUUAAAAAGCGCAACCCUUCUAUAACAGUAGGGCUGCGCUUUUUAUAAACGCGCAGCCCUUCUAUGGGCUUUUUUUUUUAAGAAUUAAGCGCCUCUCUCUCCUCUCUAUCUCUCACGCCUCUCUCUCCUCUCUAUCUCUCACGCCUCUCUCUCUCUCUGCCUCUUCUAUCUCUCUGCCUCUUCUCUCUCACCCUCCCUCUUCUCUUGAAGGCAAGCAAAACCAGAGAGUUUUUCGUCCAUGGUCAUCUAAGAUUUUCGUCCAUGGUCGUUUCGAGCAUUUAUGCGGUUAUCCAGUCAAUUUGCAAACCGGCAAAGCCUGCAAAAGAAUAAACCGGAUCUAGGAGCGUUAGAUUUGAGGGAGCAGAAAAUAAAUGAGCAUUGCCAAGUUCAAGAAUCAAAAGAGAAGGACAUUAAUGAGCAGUUUCAGGCUUUGGAAUUGAAGGCGAAGCAGAUUGAAUCAGGGUCUUCAAACUCUUGAAUCGAAAGAGAAGCAAAUCGAUGAAAUCUUCGAUGUCAGAAAAUUGUCAACCGGAAACCUUUGUUUUGAUUUUCGUUCGGGAUUGUUCUAGUUUCAUUUUUGUUCAUUUUCGUUAUUUUUUUUCAUUUUUGUUCAUUUUAGUUGAACUUUGUUUUGAUGAAUUUAUGUAAUUUCAGGAAGACAAGUAUGGUGUUUUUGGUUUAUUGUGGAA